CCUGGACUCAAUUUGUAGACCAGGCUGGCCUCAAAUUCACAGAGAUCUUCCUGCCUCUGCCUCUGCCUCCUGGGUGAUGGGAU
rnacentral:miRNA from 1 species